CCUACGGGCGGCAGCAGUGAGGAAUAUUGGUCAAUGGGCGUAAGCCUGAACCAGCCAAGUCGCGUGAGGGAUGAAGGCUCUAUGGAUCGUAAACCUCUUUUAUCAGGGAAUAAAGUGCGGGACGUGUCCCGUUCUGUAUGUACCUUAUGAAUAAGCAUCGGCUAACUCCGUGCCAGCAGCCGCGGUAAUACGGAGGAUCCGAGCGUUAUCCUGAUUUAUUGGGUUUAAAGGGUGCGUAGGCGGCCAUUUAAGUCAGCGGUGAAAGUCUGGGGGUCAACCCUAGAAGUGCCGUUGAAACUGGGAGGCUUGAGUGUGUUUGAGGCAGGCGGAAUGCGUGGUGUAGCGGUGAAAUGCUUAGAUAUCGCGCAGAACCCCGAUUGCGAAGGCAGCCUGCCAAGCCAUGACUGACGCUGAUGCACGAAAGCGUGGGGAUCGAACAGGAUUAGAUACCCGUGUAGUC
rnacentral:rRNA from 1 species